rnacentral:rRNA from 1 species
UCUUCACAAUGGACGAAAGUCUGAUGGAGCAACGCCGCGUGAGUGAAGAAGGUUUUCGGAUCGUAAAACUCUGUUGUUGGAGAAGAACGUAUUUGAUAGUAACUGAUCAGGUAGUGACGGUAUCCAACCAGAAAGCCACGGCUAACUACGUGCCAGCAGCCGCGGUAAUACGUAGGUGGCAAGCGUUGUCCGGAUUUAUUGGGCGUAAAGCGAGCGCAGGCGGUUUCUUAAGUCUGAUGUGAAAGCCUUCGGCUCAACCGAAGAAGUGCAUCGGAAACUGGGAAACUUGAGUGCAGAAGAGGACAGUGGAACUCCAUGUGUAGCGGUGAAAUGCGUAGAUAUAUGGAAGAACACCAGUGGCGAAGGCGGCUGUCUGGUCUGUAACUGACGCUGAGGCUCGAAAGCAUGGGUAGCAAACAGGAUUAGAUACCCUGGUAGUCCAUGCCGUAAACGAUGAGUGCUAGGUGUUGGAGGGUUUCCGCCCUUCAGUGCCGCAGCUAACGCAUUAAGCACUCCGCCUGGGGAGUACGACCGCAAGGUUGAAACUCAAAGGAAUUGACGGGGGCCC